AGAGUUUGAUCCUGGCUCAGGAUGAACGCUGGCGGCGUGCUUAACACAUGCAAGUCGAACGAAGCACCUUGAUUUGAUUUUUCGGAUGAAGAUCCUGGUGACUGAGUGGCGGACGGGUGAGUAACGCGUGGGUAACCUGCCUCAUACAGGGGGAUAACAGUUAGAAAUGACUGCUAAUACCGCAUAAGACCACAGCACCGCAUGGUGCAGGGGUAAAAACUCCGGUGGUAUGAGAUGGACCCGCGUCUGAUUAGGUAGUUGGUGGGGUAACGGCCUACCAAGCCGACGAUCAGUAGCCGACCUGAGAGGGUGACCGGCCACAUUGGGACUGAGACACGGCCCAAACUCCUACGGGAGGCAGCAGUGGGGAAUAUUGCACAAUGGGGGAAACCCUGAUGCAGCGACGCCGCGUGAGCGAUGAAGUAUUUCGGUAUGUAAAGCUCUAUCAGCAGGGAAGAAAAUGACGGUACCUGACUAAGAAGCACCGGCUAAAUACGUGCCAGCAGCCGCGGUAAUACGUAUGGUGCAAGCGUUAUCCGGAUUUACUGGGUGUAAAGGGAGCGUAGACGGAGUGGCAAGUCUGAUGUGAAAACCCGGGGCUCAACCCCGGGACUGCAUUGGAAACUGUCAAUCUAGAGUACCGGAGAGGUAAGCGGAAUUCCUAGUGUAGCGGUGAAAUGCGUAGAUAUUAGGAGGAACACCAGUGGCGAAGGCGGCUUACUGGACGGUAACUGACGUUGAGGCUCGAAAGCGUGGGGAGCAAACAGGAUUAGAUACCCUGGUAGUCCGCACGGUAAACGAUGGAUGCCCGCUGUUGGUCUGAAUAGGUCAGCGGCCAAGCGAAAGCAUUAAGCAUCCCACCUGGGGAGUACGCCGGCAACGGUGAAACUCAAAGGAAUUGACGGGGGCCCGCACAAGCGGAGGAACAUGUGGUUUAAUUCGAUGAUACGCGAGGAACCUUACCCGGGCUUGAAUUGCAGAGGAAGGAUUUGGAGACAAUGACGCCCUUCGGGGCCUCUGUGAAGGUGCUGCAUGGUUGUCGUCAGCUCGUGCCGUGAGGUGUCGGCUUAAGUGCCAUAACGAGCGCAACCCCUCUCCUUAGUUGCCAUCAGGUUAAGCUGGGCACUCUGGGGACACUGCCACCGUAAGGUGUGAGGAAGGUGGGGAUGACGUCAAAUCAGCACGGCCCUUACGUCCGGGGCUACACACGUGUUACAAUGGCAGGUACAGAGAGACGGUUGUACGUAAGUACGAUCAAAUCCUUAAAGCCUGUCUCAGUUCGGACUGGGGUCUGCAACCCGACCCCACGAAGCUGGAUUCGCUAGUAAUCGCGCAUCAGCCAUGGCGCGGUGAAUACGUUCCCGGGCCUUGUACACACCGCCCGUCAAGCCAUGAAAGCCGGGGGCGCCUAAAGUCCGUGACCGUAAGGAGCGGCCUAGGGCGAAACUGGUAAUUGGGGCUAAGUCGUAACAAGGUA
rnacentral:rRNA from 1 species